GACCGCUAGGGAGCUGAAGUACCCGGACACACGCACGAGCGCAGAACAAAGGGCCGGACAUGCUCCAGCCCGCUCCGCCUGCGCCUCGGCCUUGCGCGCGGGGGCCCGGGUUACCUGCGCAGAGCCAGCUGUGAUGUAAAGAAGUUUGUGCUGCAUGAGAGAGAUAGCACCUGAAGAAAAUGAGGCCCUGGAGGAUGAGAGACUCUAAAGGAAAAGGGAAGGGCCUGCUGUCUUCCAGCCACGCCAGCCCCCAACUGAGAAGCGGGGUGAAGCCAUCUUGCAUCUUUAGCCCCAGUCAAGUUACCUCAGCAAAGACUAGCUGACCCUGCCAAGCCCUGCCCAAGUUACAGAAUCAUGAGCAAAUAAAUGGCCGUUUCUGUUUUAAGCUUUUAAAUUUUGGGGGUGGUUUAUGUGUCAAUAAUAACUGAAACAGAUAAUAUAUACAGAAUAAAAUUUAGUUUUAAUAAUCU
rnacentral:antisense_RNA from 1 species